AUUGUUGUGUUCAUUCAAUUAUUACAAAGUAUUAAUAUAACUUUAUAUUUAUACUAUACGUAAUUCAAAAAAAAAAAGAUAAACCCGGCCCGGCCCGGACCGGAUCAACCCAGCCCAAUUGCAACCCGCCCCCAAUUGAACCCGGACCGGACCCGGACGGGGUCAUAAAAUUUGGACCCGGACCCGGCCUGGCCCACCCGUUGGUCACCUAUGAUUACAACAGAGAAGAAAAAGAAAGUCAGCUUAACUGAAAAGCUAUGCAACACAGCAACAGCAGAUUCAACAGUAAUGCCCAGCAAUACAGGAAUGAUUUCAAGGGAUUUUGACAGAAAACACACGCACCAACAACAAUAGUUUUCAAUAUUAGCAAGCAGGAUCCAAGUAACAGCCCAGAUUGAACUUGAAAUUUAGCAAAGAAAGAAAUCCUUCUACACAGCUUGCUUAACCAGUCCAAAUGACCUCAACUAAACCCAAACCCACUCGAAAACAAACUCAAACACCAGCAGAGUAUACUAGCAAACAAAAUGAAGGCUAAGCUAUGCAAUUCUGAGACUGAAAUUCAAAACUGACUGCAGAUUUCCAAUGGAAUAGUAAAAUCUUUGUGUUUUUUCAGUUUUUGUUUUUUUUUGGGUUUUUCUAUAGAUAACUAAACAGAAUUUAACUUGAAAUUUGAAGAUUGGAUUCGAUCUUCAAAGGAGCUUUUUGGGAGGGAAUGUGUCUACUUAUAGGCAAAGUAUGAGAAGGCUGAAAUUUUUAUUUACAACACAACCCCUUCUCCACUUUAUUCAAUUAACCCUUUUAUUUUUAACUUGCUACCUAAGCUAGCCUACUAACCUUCAUGAAAUUAUACUUGGGUGCCUAUUCUAGAAUAUUCUAGGACUUCCAUUUCAAUUCCUAACAGUUUCCAAGUCCUUAAAUUACCCAAAUUGCCCUUAGGUUAUUCCUAGAAUUACUAACCUACCCAACCCUAAUUGAACCAUGGUUGAAUGACCCCAUUCCCUUUACCCAUGAUUAAUUACCGGCUAUAACCAACAAUUCACUUAAACUAACAUGCUAAACUAUAACAUGCUAAAGACUAACAAUUAAUCAACUGAACUAAUUAAGCCACCAUUUGAACAAUUAAUCAAACAGAAAAAUGAGAGUUAAAACAAAAUUAUCUAGACUAAGAAUUAACAAAAUUGUCACGGAAACUACACACACCACCUAACAGCAAAGCACCAAUUAAACCAACCAGAUUCAUGAGAACAGAGAAAGAAAAAGAAAAUAAAAAAUGAGCAGACUUACGAACUCAGUUUCGAACUCGACUGGCCUCCAAAUUUGGCUUUGAGUUGAUGUUAUAUGUUUAUUUCAUAUGAAAUAAACACAUAAUAUCAACUUGAAGCCAAUUAAACCUUCAAAUCCCCCAAAACAGCCCCGUCUUCAAAACCCUAAACUUUAAAAUUUAAUCCAUUUAACUGACAUUUGAGAGGAUUCGGUUAGGGAUUAGGGGUGAGGAAGGUCUGGGGGUUGUGUGGUACAAAUUUGGGCCGGUUUGUACAAGGUUGCGACUCUGCCGGAAAAAUUCCAACGAAGAUUCAACAGGCCCCAGCAAGAUUCGAGGGAAACCAAUGGCAGGAAUGAAAAGAGGGGAACAAGGAGAGUUGCUGGUGUAAUUUUGGUAGUCAUUGGCGUAAAUGGCGUUCUCCGCCGGCGGCGGCGGCGGCGGCGGCUCCGGCGAGGUACUGAGAUGAGUUCGAGGAAGACGAUUAUGCUCUUUAGGGUUAAACUGAUCUUCAAACACGUUUAUUAAAAUG
rnacentral:lncRNA from 1 species